rnacentral:lncRNA from 1 species
CUCCCAAGUGCACAGCUGGCUCAAGGCAGGGACCUUGCCUCGGCCAUCUGUCAUCACGGCCUCAGGCAGGAGCUGGACACAGGGGCCAGCAGUGGCGGAGGGGUGGCCAGCCGGCUUCCCUGGCCCUUCUGUCGGUCCUUCACUGCUCAGGGGCCGAUCCCCACAGACAGUCCUCGUCCUGGUCCCCCUUUUCCUGACUCGUUCUGUGGGAUGUAGAGGUGGAGGGAGAGGACUGUCCCUUGGCAGUGUCCACCCACUGCUGGCGGGCAGAGCUCCUGGCACCCGUGAUUUCCCAACGUCCAGCAGCAACCCUGUCUCCUGGCCGAGGAGAAUUGCUGGUGACAGAGCAACCCAGGUCACCGUGACCCCAAGGCCGCACUCUCAGCCACUGGAUGCACUUCCACUCUCACUUUCCAUCCUCUGCUGAAGUCCAUUCUUGGCAACUGUAGAGGUCACACGUCCCAGCGACCAGUGGAAACAAAGAUCCACAGAGCAUGCAUCGUCCUGUCCCCAGCCUCACCCCUGCGAGUUCCAGAUGACUUCCUCCACUGCCUCCCGACAGCGUGGAAACCAGGGCACGUGUGGUCAGGAAGAGGCUGUUUUGACAGUCGUGGGUCUCACGGUGCUUGCUCGUCUCCAGGGAUGCAGUGCCAGGAGCUCCAGGUCAAGGCCGGAAUAAUUCUUUUUAAUAGCUGCAUGACCUGCCUGCUCUGGGUGAUCCAGG